rnacentral:rRNA from 1 species
GACGAACGCUGGCGGCGUGCUUAACACAUGCAAGUCGAACGGAAAGGCCCUGCUUUUGUGGGGUGCUCGAGUGGCGAACGGGUGAGUAACACGUGAGUAACCUGCCCUUGACUUUGGGAUAACUUCAGGAAACUGGGGCUAAUACCGGAUAGGAGCUCCUGCUGCAUGGUGGGGGUUGGAAAGUUUCGGCGGUUGGGGAUGUACUCGCGGCUUAUCCGCUUGUUGGUGGGGUAGUGGCUUACCAAGGCUUUGACGGGUAGCCGGCCUGAGAGGGUGACCGGCGACAUUGGGACUGAGAUAAGGCCCAGACUCCUACGGGAGGCAGCAGGGGGGAAUAUUACACAAUGGGCGGAAGCCUGAUGCAGCAACGCCGCGUGCGGGAAGACGGCCUUCGGGUUGUAAACCGCUUUGGCCUGAAACGAGGCGUGAGUGACGGUAAUGGGUAAAGAAGCACCGGCUAACUACGUG